rnacentral:rRNA from 1 species
UACGGAGGGUGCAAGCGUUAUCCGGAUUCACUGGGUUUAAAGGGUGUGUAGGUGGGCAGGUAAGUCAGUGGUGAAAUCUCUGGGCUUAACCCGGAAACUGCCGUUGAUACUAUCUGUCUUGAAUAUAGUGGAGGUGAGCGGAAUAUGUCAUGUAGCGGUGAAAUGCUUAGGUAUGACAUAGAACAUCGAUUGCGAAGGCAGCUCGCUACACUAUGAUUGACACUGAGGCACGAAAGCGUGGGGAUCAAACAGG